CCUACGGGAGGCAGCAGUGAGGAAUAUUGGUCAAUGGACGCGAGUCUGAACCAGCCAAGUAGCGUGAAGGAUGACUGCCCUAUGGGUUGUAAACUUCUUUUAUGUGGGAAUAAAAUGUUCCACGUGUGGUGUUUUGUCUGUACCAUAUGAAUAAGGAUCGGCUAACUCCGUGCCAGCAGCCGCGGUAAUACGGAGGAGCCGGGCGUUAUCCGGAUUUAUUGGGUUUAAAGGGAGCGUAGGUGGAUUGUUAAGUGAGCUGUGAAAGUUCGCGGCUCAACCGUAACAGUGCAGUUGAAACUGGCAGUCUUGAGUACAGUAGAGGUGGGCGGAAUUCGUGGUGUAGCGGUGAAAUGCUUAGAUAUCACGAAGAACUCCGAUUGCGAAGGCAGCUUACUGGACUGCAACUGACACUGAGGCUCGAAAGUGUGGGUAUCAAACAGGAUUAGAUACCCGGGUAGUC
rnacentral:rRNA from 1 species